GCAUGCUGGAGGUAUCAGAAGUGCGAAUGCUGACAUAAGUAACGAUAAAGCGGGUGAAAAGCCCGCUCGCCGGAAGACCAAGGGUUCCUGUCCAACGUUAAUCGGGGCAGGGUGAGUCGACCCCUAAGGCGAGGCCGAAAGGCGUAGUCGAUGGGAAACAGGUUAAUAUUCCUGUACUUGGUGUUACUGCGAAGGGGGGACGGAGAAGGCUAUGUUGGCCGGGCGACGGUUGUCCCGGUUUAAGCGUGUAGGCUGGUUUUCCAGGCAAAUCCGGAAAAUCAAGGCUGAGGCGUGAUGACGAGGCACUACGGUGCUGAAGCAACAAAUGCCCUGCUUCCAGGAAAAGCCUCUAAGCAUCAGGUAACAUCAAAUCGUACCCCAAACCGACACAGGUGGUCAGGUAGAGAAUACCAAGGCGCUUGAGAGAACUCGGGUGAAGGAACUAGGCAAAAUGGUGCCGUAACUUCGGGAGAAGGCACGCUGAUAUGUAGGUGAAGCGACUUGCUCGUGGAGCUGAAAUCAGUCGAAGAUACCAGCUGGCUGCAACUGUUUAUUAAAAACACAGCACUGUGCAAACACGAAAGUGGACGUAUACGGUGUGACGCCUGCCCGGUGCCGGAAGGUUAAUUGAUGGGGUCAGCGCAAGCGAAGCUCUUGAUCGAAGCCCCGGUAAACGGCGGCCGUAACUAUAACGGUCCUAAGGUAGCGAAAUUCCUUGUCGGGUAAGUUCCGACCUGCACGAAUGGCGUAAUGAUGGCCAGGCUGUCUCCACCCGAGACUCAGUGAAAUUGAACUCGCUGUGAAGAUGCAGUGUACCCGCGGCAAGACGGAAAGACCCCGUGAACCUUUACUAUAGCUUGACACUGAACAUUGAGCCUUGAUGUGUAGGAUAGGUGGGAGGCUUAGAAGUGUGGACGCCAGUCUGCAUGGAGCCGACCUUGAAAUACCACCCUUUAAUGUUUGAUGUUCUAACGUGGACCCGUAAUCCGGGUUGCGGACAGUGUCUGGUGGGUAGUUUGACUGGGGCGGUCUCCUCCUAAAGAGUAACGGAGGAGCACGAAGGUUGGCUAAUCCUGGUCGGACAUCAGGAGGUUAGUGCAAUGGCAUAAGCCAGCUUGACUGCGAGCGUGACGGCGCGAGCAGGUGCGAAAGCAGGUCAUAGUGAUCCGGUGGUUCUGAAUGGAAGGGCCAUCGCUCAACGGAUAAAAGGUACUCCGGGGAUAACAGGCUGAUACCGCCCAAGAGUUCAUAUCGACGGCGGUGUUUGGCACCUCGAUGUCGGCUCAUCACAUCCUGGGGCUGAAGUAGGUCCCAAGGGUAUGGCUGUUCGCCAUUUAAAGUGGUACGCGAGCUGGGUUUAGAACGUCGUGAGACAGUUCGGUCCCUAUCUGCCGUGGGCGCUGGAGAACUGAGGGGGGCUGCUCCUAGUACGAGAGGACCGGAGUGGACGCAUCACUGGUGUUCGGGUUGUCAUGCCAAUGGCACUGCCCGGUAGCUAAAUGCGGAAGAGAUAAGUGCUGAAAGCAUCUAAGCACGAAACUUGCCCCGAGAUGAGUUCUCCCUGACCCUUUAAGGGUCCUGAAGGAACGUUGAAGACGACGACGUUGAUAGGCCGGGUGUGUAAGCGCAGCGAUGCGUUGAGCUAACCGGUACUAAUGAACCGUGAGGCUUAACCUUACAAC
rnacentral:rRNA from 1 species